rnacentral:rRNA from 1 species
UGGGGAAUAUUGCACAAUGGGCAAAAGCCUGAUGCAGCGACGCCGCGUGAGGGAUGACGGCCUUCGGGUUGUAAACCUCUUUCAGUAGGGACGAAGCGCAAGUGACGGUACCUGCAGAAGAAGCACCGGCUAACUACGUGCCAGCAGCCGCGGUAAUACGUAGGGUGCGAGCGUUGUCCGGAAUUACUGGGCGUAAAGAGCUCGUAGGCGGUUUGUCACGUCGUCUGUGAAAUCCUAGGGCUUAACCCUGGACGUGCAGGCGAUACGGGCUGACUUGAGUACUACAGGGGAGACUGGAAUUUCUGGUGUAGCGGUGGAAUGCACAGAUAUCAGGAAGAACACCGAUGGCGAAGGCAGGUCUCUGGGUAGUAACUGACGCUGAGGAGCGAAAGCAUGGGUAGCGAACAGG